UGAAACUGGUCAGGCCUGGAGUGGCCAGCAGACCCCAAGAGCCUCUUUCUGUUGAGAAGGAGUGAGGGACCCCUGCUACUGCACUGCCACCAGCUUCCCAAUACGACUACCAUCCACUGACCUCGUCUCUGUCCCUUCUGGCUCCCAGGUCACUUCCACUCAACAGCCACAGAGGGAAGCUGAGAAAACAUCAUCACAGAUGGCCUGAAUGCAAAAGCGGCCCAAUCACUUCUUUCCGGCUUUGCUGCCAUCUGUUUCCACCUGCCAUGGACUUGUAACCCAGUUCUUUGCCAUGCUGACUGGCUCUGGCUUGCAGGGUUACAGCCAUACCCCCACCACUGGCACACAGGGUUUAGCCAGCUCCAUAGAGCUUUGGUUAACAUGUUUGACUUCAAACACACAGAGGUUCAAAAGCAAUGGUCAA